rnacentral:rRNA from 1 species
ACGGUUGUGUAUUGGACAACCGUGGCAUUGACGGAUAACGGGGAAUUAGGGUUCGGUUCCGGAGAGAACGCAUGAGAAACGGCGUUCACAGCUAAGGUUGGCAGCAGGAGCGAAAACUUUUCGAAUAGGCAAUGCCUGAAAAGGUGACUAUCCGUAUCAACAACUGCUUUUAGUGGUUGAUUGGAAUGAGAGACUUAUAGAUCGGGUUUUGAGUAGCAAGUUCAGGGCAAGGCUGGUGCCAGCAGCCGCGGUAAUACCAGCUGAGCUAGAAAUGGGUAACAUUGUUGCAGUAAAAACGUACGUAGUCACUUCUGUAUUUAUUACUCGUCCUUUUGGAUGAGUUAUUGAACGAACUACAAUGCCUUCGUAUUGUAAACUCCGCGAGUAAACUAGAACGAUUAACUUGAAUGUUGAAUAUGACAGCGUGGGAAAUCUGAUGAUGCCAUAUGAUUACGUCGUCUUUCUUAAUCAUAGGAAUAUAUUGUAAGAAUGGAUGAGGGUAUUAGUACUUAGCAGCUAGAGGUGAAAUUCCUAGAUUUGCUAAUGACUCACCACUGCGAAAGCAUUUGCCUAAUUCAUUUUUGGUGAUCAAGUACUAAAGAGUGGGGAUCGAAGAGGAUUAGAUACCCUCGUAGUCCACUCCCUAAACGAUGCCGACUAGAGGUUGGUAUGUGUAUUUUAAACUUUAUCAGAACCUUAGCAGAUAUGAAAGUCUUUUGGCUCUGGGGGGAGUACGGUCGCAAGGUCGAAACUUAAAGGAAUUGACGGAACGGCACCACCAGGGGUGGAGCGUGCGGCUUAAUUUGACUCAACGCGGGAAACCUUACUAGGGUAAGACAUUAGUAUGAUUGACAGAUUACUUGAUCUUUCUUGAUUUGGUGGGUGGUGGUGCAUGGCCGAUCUUAGUUGGUGGGGUGACCCGUCUGGUUAAUUUCGAUAACGAACGAGAUCCGAGCUGUUUAGUUGGCAAUAGUCGCACUCGCGAAUUUUGCCUCCUAUAUGGACUAUCAGUUAGAGGCUGAAGGAAGUUUCGGGCUAAAUCAGGUCUGUGAUGCCCUUAGACACUCUAGGCGGCACGCGCGCUACAAUGGGUUGGAGAAUGUGUUACUGCCUUUGAAAUGAAGGGGUGAAUCACGAAUCCUUACUCGUGAAUGGGAUAGUUUGUUGCAAUUUUCGGACUUGAACUAGGAAUCCCUUGUAAGCAUAUUCAAGAAUAGUAUGCUGAAUACGUCCCUGCCGUUUGUACACACCGCCCGUCGUUUCUUCCGACUGAUACUAAUUGUGAGUUGCAAGGAUUCUUGAUUGGAAAAUUGCUGCGAAUGCUUUGUAUUGGAGGAAGAAAAAGUCGUAACAAGGUUAUCGUAGGUGAACCUGCGA